rnacentral:rRNA from 1 species
GACGAACGCUGGCGGCGUGCUUAACACAUGCAAGUCGAACGGAAGGGCCCUGCUUUUGUGGGGUGCUCGAGUGGCGAACGGGUGAGUAGCACGUGAGUAACCUGCCCUUGACUUUGGGAUAACUUCAGGAAACUGGGGCUAAUACCGGAUAGGAGCUCCUGCUGCAUGGUGGGGGUUGGAAAGUUUCGGCGGUUGGGGAUGGACUCGCGGCUUAUCAGCUUGUUGGUGGGGUAGUGGCUUACCAAGGCUUUGACGGGUAGCCGGCCUGAGAGGGUGACCGGCCACAUUGGGACUGGGAUGCGGCCCAGACUCCUACGGGAGGCAGCAGUGGGGAAUAUUGCACAAUGGGCGGAAGCCUGAUGCAGCAACGCCGCGUGCGGGAUGACGGCCUUCGGGUUGUAAACCGCUUUCGCCUGUGACGAAGCGUGAGUGACGGUAAUGGGUAAAGAAGCACCGGCUAACUACGUG